UAACUUUUUUCAAGUUUUAAUAGCAAAUUAUACCAUUUAAAAUUAAACCAUUUAAAAUGUCAGAUAGAUGAUAUGAAGAAGGAAAAAAGAGGUCACUUUUCACUAGAUUCCUGGUAUAGCCCAAGCCUCUUUUAAUUCAGACCAAAAAAAAUCUAAACAAAGCAGCAUAAAUGCAGAGAAACAGAGCAGAAGGAGAGCAGAAUUAGAUAGAUAAUGAGGUAUAAUGAGAAAAGCUUGAGAUUAGAAUUAAAAGGCUGGAAUUAUACUCCUAAUUUUUGCUUUAUAAACUUGGACACAUUUCUUAACUUCUCUAAGCCUCGAUAACCAAAUAUGUAAAAUGGGGAAAAUACAUAACUAAUAAUAUUGUUGUGAGAAUUAAGUAAAAUUAAUACAUGCAAAAGUGCUAGGACCAAACCCUGCAUGAUAGGUGCCAAGUACAUAGUUGUUGAAUCUAAAGCAGUACAAGGACGUUUUGAGAUCUGCAAUUGUUAAAAGAGUUACUAUUAUAAAAGGUGUCCUGAUUCCCAAUUCAAUGUUCAAUCUAUUAAUACUACCAUCAUUAAGUAGGCAUUACUUUGGCUUUCUUCUUGCUCCAUACCACAAGUUAGCAACUCCUCUGAGUUUUGCCUCUUUUGAUUAAUAGUAUUGCCUUCUCCCCGUCUCUCAGACUCAAAACUGUCUAGUCCCAUUCAACUCUUGCUGGUACUUCACUUCUCAUGCCAAAUCAAUGAGCUCCUUCUACUGUAUUCAGUAAAACAAGCACAAAUUACGUUGAAUGAUUUGGGGGAUAAAGAAAAGAGGUAAGACCCAAAGGCUCCUUUCAAGUAACUUACAAUGUUGCAAGAAGAUAAGACAUGAAUACAUAUCACUAAAAUAAAAAGCAGGUUUUUGUAAGUACCAUAAAAAGAGACACAAUAGGGUACUGGACCACGGAAGAAGGGAAUCUUACUUUUAGGAAGCGUGUAUGUGUAUGUUUACUUGUGUGUGUGAAAGACACACACAGAGAGAGAAUAUGAACAGUGAGGAAGGUAGAGCUCAAUAUGUGGUUUCGGAAAGGAAAGAGAAAAGGAGAUUUCUUUAGACCACACAGUAUGACCAAAGGCCUGGGUGUGGCAAAGGACAAGACAGGUUCAGAUAAUGUGGAAUAACGUCUUUGGAAUGUGGAAAAGAAAGAGGGAAAGAAAAAGACUGGUGACCCUGGAAAGCCCUGAAUGAUACCCUAAGAUGUUUCAACUUUCCUCUACUGGUAACAAGGGCCACUGAAGUGUACAGACAAGGAGGGAAAUGAUAACUGGUGCUGUGCUCUUAUUUGGCAGAGUGAGGAAGAUGAACUAGACAAAGGAAAAAUAAGAGACAGAGAAACUACCAGAAGCUGUUGCAAUAGUCUGCAAUAGUGAGAGAAGACAGUAACUGGAAAUAGGAUAGUGGUAACAGAGAAGAAAAGACAAUGCAAGCCAUUUUACUCAACAGUAGGGCUUAAAGAAGAAUACAGGAUAGGGCCUACUCUCAAGAAGGUUAUAACUGUCAAUUUGUGUCUAGAAUCAACGCUAUGCUACCACUUCUCUGACAAAAUAGAAGGAACUGUUUUCCUUUCACACGCAAAUCCAGUCAGAAAACAAACCAUUUCACAAUUAUCCAGACCAUGGACAAGAAAUGCGGGUACACAUGACCCGGAAGUUGCAUUACUCCUAACUGUUGAGCAGAGAGAGCAUGUCCCAUAUGAACCUGCCUCUGUUUUUUGGGUCAGAUCCCAAAGUCUCUAAGCAUAUAGGAUGAGGCCAUGACUUCUUCCUAUUGCUCUUGGCAACCAGAAAACUUAGGUGGACCCAAUUUAGCUUAACAAUGGCCAGAUCAUACUAGGUAGUGUUCUGUUCUGUUCCGGUGAUGAAGAAGGAACUUGAAAUCCUAUGCUACCAGGAUUCAGGGAGGUUCUGCUGGAGUCAUGACUGUAGUAUCCUAAGAUAUAAGUGGCUAAUGUGUGGAAAAGCAAUUUGAUUUAUUUUGUAUGAUUCCACACACUAAGACUGAACUAGCAUCAGUAGGGACAUACUAUGGAAAAGUAGAUUUUGGCUCAGUAUAGGUAAAAACAUUUUAAAAGAGCAGUCCAAAGUAGGUCCAUUAGAAACCAGAGAGCUACUCAGCAUUGGAGAUAUUGAAGAGGAAACAGUCGCCAGAUAGUAAAUAUGUCAGCCUUUGAAGGCCAUAUAGUCUCUGCCACAGCUACUCAACUAUGGCUGAAAGCAGCCAUAAACAAUGCAUAAACAAAAUGAAUCAGGAGACAAGAGACUAAAGUCUCUUCCAACCUUGAGAGGACUUACAUACUGUUAACCAAGAUAAAUCUGAUAUGGUAAUUUGAUCAUAUUACUCAGAUUCUUGGAACAGAUCAAUGUGGUCUUCUAAAUAAUCAAGUAUUAACUAAAACAGUCUUUUAGUGUCAGCCUUGACAGUUAAAGAUAUUUCUACAGGUUCAGUAGCUUCUGCCCUGCCUUAGGUAUUAUAUCAAAGAUAACAUGUCUUUUCUUGAUGACUAAGGGCUUCUCAGGGCCUCAACUCAUCUUUCCAGAUAUCAAAUCUUACAUGCCGUGAGGUUAAAGUAGUAGAAGAAGCAAGACAUUUCUUGGAAGAAGGCUUUGUGUAACUCCUAGAAAUGGGCGUGUCCUUUUAACUUCCCUCUUUUUGAUGACAGUAGGGCAAAAACUACCAAGGAACCAGGAGAAUCCUGCCUAGCGAGGAUUAUAGUUAGUCAGAAUCUAACUGAGGUUACUGGAUAGCAAUAAACGGAACCUAUUACGUAAAUUAAGACCAUAAUGUUCGCAUUUUCAAAAAGCUCUUUGCUUUAGUAACACACACACGCGCACACACACACUUCUUCCCCACAGUGAAACUCCCAGGUGGUAAUGUGGUUUGAAUUCCAGCUCAAUCACAAAGACAGAAAAUCUAAUCUAACUUCUGAAGUACAACUGUAUCCUAAUAUAAUGCAGCAUGAAGUAUACCAGAUCAAGUCUUACGUCUCAUGACAGUUAAGAGCAAACAAUAAGGGUCUGGUAGGGUCAUGUUACAGUCACACAUUUCUGGAGGAACAUUUCCAAACCGUCAUUUACGGUUCCCGGUGCAGAGAAGUGGAAGUAUAAGAGAAAGAAUACAGGAAACUAUGACAAAUACAAACACUUCUGUAUUUUUUAACAAAUACAAAAUGAGGCCACUGAAUGGUUUAAAGUUUUUUCAUAUAUAUAUUUUUAAAAGAUCAUUCUAGCUUCUGGCAAAUGGAGUGAGGGGGGUAAGAACAUAAGUAGGGAGCCCAGAUAUACUAAUGCACAAGAAACAAUGGCAUUUUGGACCAGGACAGUGGCAAAGGAGGUUGAAAUGACUGGCCUUGGUAACGGACUGACUAUGGGGGAUACAGAAGAAGGAAGAAAAAAGCCAGACUCCAAGAUUUCCAGCUUGAGCAGGUAAACGGAGUUUCCCUGGGGUGUGGCCUGCACCAUCUUUUAUCUCUCAAGACAUAACGGGAAGCAAGCAGAGAGUUGGGGACCUCAUACCACCAAGAAAGCAGCACCAGGACCAGAGCGCGUCCUUUGGACAUGGGAUCUCUGCGCCUGAGAAGCUCCUAGACCAGGGGAAGAUUGAGGACAAGGACCUUCUUCCAGAGCCAACAAAGAGAGAAAGCCUUCCCCUAGAGCUGACGCCUUGAAUUUGGUCUUUUAGCCUACUUUACUGUGAAGAAAUAAAUUUCUCUUUGUUAAAGCCAUCCACUUGUGGUAUUUCUGUUAUAGCAGCAGUAGAUGACUAAGACGAAUUCAUACACUCAUGUAAAACUAUAAACAAAAGUAAGGAAGUGAUUACAUAAAAUUCAAGAUACUUAGAAGGGGUGACAGAGUGGAGUAAGAUGAUUGGGAAGGAACAUACAGGAGCUUCUGAGGUGCUGGCAAUGCUUACCUUCUUGUCUUAAGUAGUUGUUACAUGAGUGUUUGCUUAAUUUUACUCUACGUUAUGUUUUAUACAUUUUUUGUAUAUGUAUUAUAUUUCACAAUAAAACGUUUUAAAAGAAGAAGACAUAAUUGGAGGCAUCCUGGAAGGAUAAUGAAUGUAGGCAAAGUCUGGAGGCAAGGAGAGAUAUUAAGUGUUGGUCAGGCAAUAGUACAGGCAAGGGUAGGAGAGCUCAAGCCAGGUCAUUGGUAGUAGAGAUGUUGUUGCUGUGUGCUGAUAAGUUGAUUUCAACUCAUAGUGAUCCUCUAUGGGGGUCACAGAGCAGACCACAGGGUUUCCUAGGCUGUAAUCUUUAUAGGAGCAGAUUGCCAGAUCUUUUCUCCUGUGGAGCCACGGGGCGGGGGGGGCGGGGUUCAAACUGCUGACCUUUAGGUUAGCAGCUAAGCACUUAACCAUUGUGCCACCAGGGCUCUUUCAGUAGUAGGGAGAAAAUGAUUUAAGAACUAUUUAGGAGUUAGGUCUUAGUGACCCGUUAGAAAUGAUGACUGAGAGAGAGGUAAGAGUUGAAAAAAGGAUGGCAGAAUUUCAAAAGUUUCAAGUUUGGGCAACUGGAUGAUAAAAGCAAAAAACUAAGCCCACUGCCAUAGACUUGAUUUCGACUCACAGUAAGCCUAUAGGUGGAGUAGAACUGCCCCAUAGUGUUUCCAAGGCUGUAAUCUUUUUUUUUU